rnacentral:tRNA from 1 species
AAGGCCUUAGCUUAAUUAAAGUUUCUGUUUUGCAUGCAGGGGAUGUGGGGUAGUAUCCCGCAGGUCUUA